GUGGACUCGGGUAGUGGCGCACGGGUGCGUAACGCGUGGGAACCUGCCUUUAGGUUCGGAAUAACAGUGAGAAAUCGCUGCUAAUACCGGAUAAUGUCUUAGGACCAAAGAUUUAUCGCCUUUAGAUGGGCCCGCGUCAGAUUAGAUAGUUGGUGGGGUAAUGGCCUACCAAGUCGACGAUCUAUAGCUGGUCUGAGAGGAUGAUCAGCCACACUGGGACUGAGACACGGCCCAGACUCCUACGGGAGGCAGCAGUGGGGAAUAUUGGACAAUGGGCGCAAGCCUGAUCCAGCAAUGCCGCGUGAGUGAUGAAGGCCUUAGGGUUGUAAAGCUCUUUUACCAGGGAUGAUAAUGACAGUACCUGGAGAAUAAGCUCCGGCUAACUCCGUGCCGGCAGCCGCGGUAAUACGGAGGGAGCUAGCGUUGUUCGGAAUUACUGGGCGUAAAGCGCACGUAGGCGGCUUUUCAAGUCAGGGGUGAAAUCCCGGGGCUCAACCCCGGAACUGCCCUUGAAACUGGAUGGCUAGAAUCCUGGAGAGGCGAGUGGAAUUCCGAGUGUAGAGGUGAAAUUCGUAGAUAUUCGGAAGAACACCAGUGGCGAAGGCGACUCGCUGGACAGGUAUUGACGCUGAGGUGCGAAAGCGUGGGG
rnacentral:rRNA from 1 species